GAUGAAGAACGUAGCGAAAUGCGAUAAGUAGUGUGAAUUGCAGAAUUCAGUGAAUCAUCGAAUCUUUGAACGCACAUUGCGCCCCUUGGUAUUCCAUGGGGCAUGCCUGUUCGAGCGUCAUUUGUACCCUCAAGCUCUGCUUGGUGUUGGGCCACGCCCUCGCGGCCGGCCCCAAAGCCAGUGGCGGCGCCGUCCGGCUCUAAGCGUAGUACAUCUCUCGCUCUAGGGCCCGGCGGCUGCCUGCCAGAACCCCAAACUCUUAUGGUUGACCUCGGAUCAGGUAGGGAUACCCGCUGAACUUAAGCAUAUCAAUAAGCGGAGGA
rnacentral:misc_RNA from 1 species